rnacentral:rRNA from 1 species
GCCCAGACUCCUACGGGAGGCAGCAGUGAGGAAUAUUGGUCAAUGGGCGGGAGCCUGAACCAGCCAAGUCGCGUGAGGGAUGACGGUCCUAUGGAUUGUAAACCUCUUUUGUCGGGGAGCAAAAGACGCCACGUGUGGCGUUCCGAGAGUACCCGAAGAAAAAGCAUCGGCUAACUCCGUGCCAGCAGCCGCGGUAAUACGGAGGAUGCGAGCGUUAUCCGGAUUUAUUGGGUUUAAAGGGUGCGUAGGCGGAAUGCCAAGUCAGCGGUAAAAUUGCGGGGCUCAACCUCGUCGAGCCGUUGAAGCUGGGUGCCUUGAGUGGGCGAGAAGUACGCGGAAUGCGUGGUGUAGCGGUGAAAUGCAUAGAUAUCACGCAGAACUCCGAUUGCGAAGGCAGCGUACCGGCGCCCAACUGACGCUGAAGCACGAAGGCGUGGGUAUCGAACAGGAUUAGAUACCCUCGUA